rnacentral:lncRNA from 1 species
CAUGUACCAGGGAGAUGAAUGAUCUUGAACUUUAUGUGUGUCCGGCACAUAUGCCACCAUCUGGGAUAUGCCACCAACUAUAGGAAGCAACCUAUGUGAAAAUGAAGAAUGUGCUACAAAUGCAAUGGUCUUUUUCAAGAAUUUCUGCUUCCCAGAGAAAUUUGAAAAUCCUGCUUCAGCACCAGCUGGGCUAUGGUAGGCAGUCUGGCCAGGAAUAUUGGCAGAAAUGUGAAAUCUCUUCAGUCCCAUGCGUGGUCUUCUAGCAACCCAUGUGGAGGCGAUGUGGUGUUUGCAGGCACACAGGAGCAGCUCCAGCCAUGUUGCCCCUGCAGCUGCUGCCAAAAUCUGGCUUGCCAGUGUGGUAAAUCUGGAACUGCUGAUGAUUGGCACUGCAAGACUUGCAUGGUAAGUUCAAGCUGUUCCAGAAGGCAAUGAGAUGAUUACUGACAUCCUGGAGUAGUUCCCUGAGGUCAUGUCAGUUGUACUCAGGAAUCUAAGAAAAUCCCAACAAAUAAGACUAUUGCUGUCAUUAUAAUGAUACAGAGUUUCAAGCAUCAUUAUCUUGGUUGAUAAUGUUUGUCAGUCUCACAAAGCUGUCACAGGUAGAAAGCUCACUGGAGCUUUGUACCUGUGAUAUUAUUUACUGUGGAAAAUUUCACAUUUAACUUUCUUUUCUUGCCCAGUCCUAGCAUAUACCCCUUUCAGAUACAGAUGCCUAAACAAAGGUGUUUGGUUUUAUGGAAGCAAAAUCUAUACGUUACUCUUUACUUAAUAGGAAUUUAUUUUGUUUGUUGGUAGGAAGGCUUUUGACUAUUUUCUGUACUUCUCCUAAAGAAAUAGCUAUGGUUGAAGGUGAUCAGGAUAGGAGACAGUAAAGAAUACACUCUGCACUCUGUAGAACACAGCAUGAGAGCAACCAGAGGGUGCUUUGAAUCAGUUGCAUGUGCUGUGGAGAUAUUAUGCGGUUGACUUCUGCCAAAUGGAUUCAGUGGAUGAAGUAACAGCCAGAGUCUCAAGUUGCUCUUCAGGAGACAGCAGAUUUUGUUUUCUCUGAUUUUUCCAUUCUUUUCUGCUUUCAGCAUUCCAUCCCUUGAAUCAUUUAAGAAGUCUGGAUUUCAAAACCAAAUA